CCGCAGCAGGAGGCGGACCAGGAGAAACCGGGGCGGGCUCUGGAGCUCUUGGCACCCUCUUUGCAACAUUUUUGCAAACCCGACUGUUGUAGAUCAGGAUUAAGAAACGCGGCCAGGCGUGCACGUCCCUCUGGGGCAGCCCUGGCCUCCUCCAGGGCUGGGGAGCUGAGCUCAGGUUUGCAGGCUGGGACCUCGUUCUGGCACCCCCGCCCGCCCUCCUUGGAGCCACCCAGGGCCCAGGCUCCUUCCUUUAAGUCCAGGAGGGGGCGGCCAGAGUCUUCCCUGCAGGGCGCUGGCCCCCUGGAGCCGCAGCGGGAGACUCACAUCUGCUGGUCAGAGCGGCUCGGGGUGGGUGGGGGGGAGAGCUUCAGCCUGCGCCUCUUCCAGUCUGUCAGGGUGCAGCGGGUCUGUGCUCCCCUCCCCUCUGGUGUCCUUCGAGUAAUUGCUGUGCCCCAGGGUGAUCUCGGGGCCUGAGGUCCCGAAUGAAUCAGAGGUCGGCCUGAUCUCGCGGGUGGAGGCCCAGAGCAGAGUGGACGCCCGGGAAAGAAAACCUACGUCCACAGGAAAUCCGUGCUCAGGGUCCACAGCAGCACACCUCAGAGUUGGGCAGAGGGGACCACCCGGGUGACCACUAGGAGUGUCUCUCGGCCACCCACAGGAGCGAGGUGGCAGCUGCACUGGACGGACCUGAAGACCUGGUGCUCAGUCAGAGCCACAGACACAGGCCACCGGCUGUGACCCAGUGACAGGAGGGUCAAGGACAGGAGUCUAGAGACGGGAUGUGGGCCAUGGGGAGGGACGGGGGCUGCUCCUGGACUUCCUUCGGGGAUGGAAUGUUCUGGAACCAGACAGAGGUGCCGCUGCCACUGGACUGUGCACUCUAAAAUGGCCGAUCUGUGUUACGUGACUCUCACUCAGAAGCAGCGUUGGGCAGAGGUUUCAGAGAGGCUGACCGGGCUGAAGAGUAGACCCGUGCCCAGAGCCGGAGCGCAGGGACACAGGGUGCCCAGAGGCCCCCAGGCCCAGGACUGGCCGCGAUGGUGGAUGCUCGGCCCUGCUCGGUGGUUGUGGGCUUUGCUGUCAGAUCAGAGCUGCGGCCCAGAACUCUGGGUUCCCCUCUCGUCUGGAAUCCGGGGACCUUCCUUCCAGCUGGCCGCUGGGUGAGGAGUUGCCCUCGGGCUCCUUCCCCGUCCGCAGCCCGCCAGCCACCACGCUGGGCUGUGGGCAGCGGCCCCUUGAGACAGGUAGAACCCGCUUCCCGGAGGGGAGACUGAGGCAGGGAGAGGGAUCAGGCCUAGGGGCCAGGGCCUUGGUGCCCCGGCCUGCCCACAGGCCGCGCUCUGUCCCCCGCCACAGCAGGAGGCUGGCGUUGUCUGGGUUCUCAUGAGGGGGACAUGUUCCCAGCUCUGGCGGUGCACAGGGGUCCUACGAUGGCCAAAGGCGCCCCCUGCAGGUCGCCGUCGGAAGCCGGGGUUGCUCCCGCUCUCCAGGCUGAGAGCUUGCGGGUGCCCCUCUCCUUGGCCGUCCCCUGCAGUGAGGUGGCCUGCUCUUCACUCCUGAGCAGAGGCAUGUUGGGGUCUGGGACACGGAGCAGGUAGGUCCCUGCUGGGUGGUUCCAUUUGGAGGGCGUGGUGCCUGGUCAGCUGGGCUGAAUGAUGACCGCGGCGUUUGGCCCAGGUGCUGCCCUGGGGGUCUCUGGAUGCCCCCAGAGUCUGGAAUCCGUGGUGUUAAGUGAAGGAGGGGUUCGGGGACACAGCAGGGCCCCAGCCUCACGCGCCCUCCACCAGGAGGCCUUCAGGGCAAGAGCAGGGCUUCCUGGGUCAGCACACGCUGCCCGCAGGCCCAGCGGUUGGCAGAGGUGCCACGCACCACGCGGGUUCUUUGGUAGAGGUCGUGUAGGUCAGGAAGUCUGCAUCCGAGGAGGCAGGUGCAUCAACAGGGCAGAGGCCACCCUUGCCACAAAGAGCACAAGCCCCGGCAGCGGGGGCAGCCUGGGCAGCUGGCAGAGGCCCUCGGGGGCGGAGGCCAGGCUUCCCCUGCCAGGCUGCGCACCACUGAGCUGCUCCCUGGGCCCGGGAGGAGGCGACUUACAAGCCAUAGGUUGGCACCUGCAGGGACGGAGAGCCUUCCAGGCAAAACACAGGAGGGGCAAGGCCCGGGCAGCAAUCAGCCCAGUGAGCUCAGGAACAGACCAGAG
rnacentral:lncRNA from 1 species